UUGCAUCAAAAACUUUUGUUCAGAUCAAGCCAAUAUAGCAUCUAGCUGUCAAACAAACUGACUUCCUAAGUAAAAGUGGCUUACUGUGGCGAAUAUUCGUAUUAUAAUCUGUAGCAGGGGAUUUCAUUGGUCACACCAGCUCUAUAGAAAUCUUUAAAAGUCUGAAUCACGCUUGUUUAGCUGCUAUUUCUAGCAAAAGUUACUUCCGUUGUCCAUCGCAUUCGUGAUUGUCGGGUUCCGUUUUAAAAACUAGCAAUUAUUACGAUCCAUCUUACAAUGAUUACUAAAAUUGCGGUUAUAUGUGCUGUAUUCCUGCUUCUUGCGGGCGUGGAAUGCCAACAGCAGGAUAUUUUUGGCGGUCUCUCUGGUUUGAUAAACCUCGCUAAGAGUUCUACUGACAUGCUGCAAAAGAAAGCGGAUUUAAUUAACCAAGCGUCCCAAACUGCUCAGAACUUUGAAAAGUUGUUGAAAAGUUUUUAUAAUUGAAACUAAUAAAGUUGUAUUCGUUGUGUAUUUGUAAAAGGUAUUUUUAAAAGAAAUUAACAAUAAAUCCGUAAAUGUAUGGGAAAUUUCGAGAACAGUUA